AAGUUGCGAUGUGUUGGAACAACGAACUACAAACCAAAAAAUGAGGGAAAAUGUCCCGUUCCCGUGAAAAUUUGAAAAACGGGACAACGGGAAUUCCCGUUCCCGUGAAAAUUUGAAAAACGGGACAACGGGAAUUCCCGUUCCCGGGAA
ensembl:ncRNA F25B5.10 ncRNA